rnacentral:rRNA from 1 species
GAUGAACGCUGGCGGCGUGCCUAACACAUGCAAGUCGAGCGAACCCUUCGGGGUGAGCGGCGGACGGGUGAGUAACGCGUGGGUAACCUGCCCUGUACACACGGAUAACAUACCGAAAGGUAUGCUAAUACGGGAUAACAUAUGAGAGUCGCAUGGCUUUUGUAUCAAAGCUCCGGCGGUACAGGAUGGACCCGCGUCUGAUUAGCUAGUUGGUAAGGUAACGGCUUACCAAGGCAACGAUCAGUAGCCGACCUGAGAGGGUGAUCGGCCACAUUGGAACUGAGACACGGUCCAAACUCCUACGGGAGGCAGCAGUGGGGAAUAUUGCACAAUGGGCGAAAGCCUGAUGCAGCAACGCCGCGUGAGCGAUGAAGGCCUUCGGGUCGUAAAGCUCUGUCCUCAAGGAAGAUAAUGACGGUACUUGAGGAGGAAGCCCCGGCUAACUACGUGCCAGCCGCCGCAGUAAUAC